UACUCCGAAUGCAUCNCAGAUUAGUAUGUUUGAUCAUGGCUCAGGACGAACGCUGGUGGCGCGCCUAAUACAUGCAAGUCGAGCGAACCUUUCGGGGUUAGCGGCGGACGGGUGAGUAACACGUAGGCAACCUGCCUGUAAGCCUGGGAUAACUGUUGGAAACGAUAGCUAAUACCGGAUAAUUGAAGGAGAGGCACCUUUCCUUCUGGAAAGGCGGAGCAAUCUGCCACUUAUGGAUGGGCCUGCGGCGCAUUAGCUAGUAGGUGAGGUAACGGCUCACCUAGGCGACGAUGCGUAGCCGACCUGAGAGGGUGAUCGGCCACACUGGGACUGAGACACGGCCCAGACUCCUACGGGAGGCAGCAGUAGGGAAUCUUCCGCAAUGGGCGACAAGCCUGACGGAGCAACGCC
rnacentral:rRNA from 1 species